GAAUUUCGUUCGCACGAUUUCGUCACUCGAAAAUCGGUGGAAAACGCUGAAAUGCUAAUUUUUAAAAUACGAGCGAUCGAAAUUUAGAAUCUAGUGGUAUUGACCACUCGGUUUCAAUUCUAUUAGUAGAAUUUAAAUGCCUAGUAGUGGAGAUAUCAUUUAACGAAAUACACGAAAUCCAGUGGUCGAGUUUCAAAAAUCGGCCCCCUGGCAUAUUUUCACUCGCUUUGGCACCAAAAUUUUCCAUUUAGCAUCUGGCAUAUUUUUUAGCAUAAUUUAGUCAAAGCCAAAUUUGCACCAACUUGGCAGCAACAAUAUGCGCCAUCGCCUUAUGUGGUUCAUAUUUUCAUAUGAAUUUUGACUUUUGUGGGCGGAUGGACGUCGACGGACUAUAUAUGUAUAAU